UGGGGAAUUUUGGACAAUGGGCGAAAGCCUGAUCCAGCAAUGCCGCGUGUGUGAAGAAGGCCUUCGGGUUGUAAAGCACUUUUGUCCGGAAAGAAAUGGCUCUGGUUAAUACCUGGGGUCGAUGACGGUACCGGAAGAAUAAGGACCGGCUAACUACGUGCCAGCAGCCGCGGUAAUACGUAGGGUCCAAGCGUUAAUCGGAAUUACUGGGCGUAAAGCGUGCGCAGGCGGUUGUGCAAGACCGAUGUGAAAUCCCCGAGCUUAACUUGGGAAUUGCAUUGGUGACUGCACGGCUAGAGUGUGUCAGAGGGGGGUAGAAUUCCACGUGUAGCAGUGAAAUGCGUAGAGAUGUGGAGGAAUACCGAUGGCGAAGGCAGCCCCCUGGGAUAACACUGACGCUCAUGCACGAAAGCGUGGGGAGCAAACAGGAUUAGAUACCCUGGUAGUCCACGCCCUAAACGAUGUCAACUAGUUGUUGGGGAUUCAUUCCUUAGUAACGUAGCUAACGCGUGAAGUUGACCGCCUGGGGAGUACGGUCGCAAGU
rnacentral:rRNA from 1 species